GAGGAUUUAGCUCAGUGGUAGAGCGCUUGCCUAGCAAGCGCAAGGCUCUGGGUUCGGUCCCCAGGGGUCCCCA
rnacentral:tRNA from 1 species